rnacentral:rRNA from 1 species
CUCAGUAACGGCGAGUGAAGCGGCAAUAGCUCAAAUUUGAAAUCUGCUCUUUGAGCCGAAUUGUAAUUUGUAGAGGAUGCUUCGGCUUACGUUUCGGUCUAAGUUCCUUGGAACAGGACGUCAUAGAGGGUGAGAAUCCCGUCUGUGGCCGAGACUUCCGCCAUGUGAAGCUCCUUCGACGAGUCGAGUUGUUUGGGAAUGCAGCUCUAAAUGGGAGGUAUAUUUCUUCUAAAGCUAAAUACCGGCCAGAGACCGAUAGCGCACAAGUAGAGUGAUCGAAAGAUGAAAAGCACUUUGGAAAGAGAGUUAAAAAGUACGUGAAAUUGUUGAAAGGGAAGCGUUUGCGACCAGACUUGCCCGCGGAUGCUCAACCGGUCCUUCGGCCGGUGCACUCUUCCGCGGUCAGGCCAGCAUCAGUUCGAGUAGCCAGAUAAAGGCAUUGGGAAUGUGGCUCUCUUCGGGGAGUGUUAUAGCCCUUUGUGUAAUAUGGUUCAUUUGGACUGAGGCCCGCGCUUCGGCUAGGAUGCUGGCGUAAUGGUCGUAAGCGGCCCGUCUUGAAACACGGACCAAGGAGUCUAACAUCUAUGCGAGUGUUUGGGUGUCAAACCCGUGCGCGAAAUGAAAGUGAACGGAGGUGGGAACCUUUGGGUGCACCAUCGACCGAUCCUGAUGUCUUCGGAUGGAUUUGAGUAAGAGCAUAGCUGUUGGGACCCGAAAGAUGGUGAACUAUGCCUGAAUAGGGUGAAGCCAGAGGAAACUCUGGUGGAGGCUCGCAGCGGUUCUGACGUGCAAAUCGAUCGUCAAAUUUGGGUAUAGGGGCGAAAGACUAAUCGAACCAU